AGUGAAGAGGUUUGGUGGUGAUCUUGGUCCCUGGGUGGCAAAAUGGCGGCAGGGAGGUUGGAGGAAGUUGGGACUUAGAGGGGCAGUCACCCGAGGAGCUGCAGGUGUCCAUUCUCCUUGUCAGGGCCGGCCAGCAGCAGCAGGUCUGGCAGCUCCAGGGCAGGACUAGAGGCUGCCACCCCCAUGGUGACCUUGUUGGCGACUUCUCCAAACCGGGUCACCUGGGGCCAAAGGUUAAGAGGAUCGAUAGAUGGAGAACAGAACUCAACAGGAAUCUGAUUGGGUCUUGGGGAUCUUGACAGAGUGAAAGGUCAUGAACUAGGGGAGAUGAACAGUAGGUUAGGGAUUGGGAAUGUGGCUCAGAAUAUAAGCACACAUGCCUAGAAUCCCCCGGUGCAGGGCUAGGGUGUGACUAAGGGGUAGAGCUCCUGCUGAAUAACGAGUGAAGCCCAGAGUACCAGCCAUAUUACCUCUAAAAAGG
rnacentral:lncRNA from 1 species